rnacentral:rRNA from 1 species
CUACGGGACGCAGCAGUGGGGAAUAUUGGACAAUGGGGGAAACCCUGAUCCAGCAAUGCCGCGUGUGUGAAGAAGGCCUGCGGGUUGUAAAGCACUUUCGGUUGGGAGGACUGCUUCUAGCACUAAUAUUGUUGGAAGUUGACGUUACCUUCAGAAGAAGCACCGGCUACCUCCGUGUCAGCAGCCGCGGUAAUACGGAGGGUGCAAGCGUUAAUCGGAAUUACUGGGCGUAAAGCGCGCGUAGGCGGCUAGAUCAGUCGGGUGUGAAAGCCCCGGGCUUAACCUGGGAACUGCAUCCGAUACUGUCUAGCCUGAGUACAGGAGAGGAGAGUGGAAUUCCACAUGUAGCGGUGAAAUGCGUAGAUAUGUGGAGGAACACCAAUGGCGAAGGCAGCUCUCUGGCCUGAUACUGACGCUGAUGUGCGAAAGCGUGGGGAGCAAACAGGAUUAGAUACCCGGGUAGUC